CAAUAGCGUAUAUUAAAGUUGUUGCAGUUAAAAAGCUCGUAGUUGGAUUUGUGGCGUACGGUGGGUUCCGGGCACUUGUUGUCUGAGUAACUUGCUGUUGCCAUCCUUGGGUGGAACCUGUGUGGCAUUAGGUUGUCGUGCAGGGGAUGCCCAUCAUUUACUGUGAAAAAAUUAGAGUGUUCAAAGCAGGCUUAUGCCGUUGAAUAUAUUAGCAUGGAAUAAUGAGAUAGGACUUUUUUGCUAUUUUGUCGGUUUGCGCAAAGAGGUAAUGAUUAAUAGGGACAGUUGGGGGUAUUCGUAUUCCAUUGUCAGAGGUGAAAUUCUUGGAUUUUUGGAAGACGAACUACUGCGAAAGCAUUUACCAAGGAUGUUUUCAUUAA
rnacentral:rRNA from 1 species